rnacentral:rRNA from 1 species
UGGGGAAUUUUGGACAAUGGGCGAAAGCCUGAUCCAGCAAUGCCGCGUGUGUGAAGAAGGCCUUCGGGUUGUAAAGCACUUUUGUCCGGAAAGAAAUCCUCUGGGUUAAUACCUCGGGGGGAUGACGGUACCGGAAGAAUAAGCACCGGCUAACUACGUGCCAGCAGCCGCGGUAAUACGUAGGGUGCAAGCGUUAAUCGGAAUUACUGGGCGUAAAGCGUGCGCAGGCGGUUUUGUAAGACGGAUGUGAAAUCCCCGGGCUUAACCUGGGAACUGCAUUCGUGACUGCGAGGCUAGAGUAUGGCAGAGGGGGGUAGAAUUCCACGUGUAGCAGUGAAAUGCGUAGAGAUGUGGAGGAAUACCGAUGGCGAAGGCAGCCCCCUGGGCCAAUACUGACGCUCAUGCACGAAAGCGUGGGGAGCAAACAGGAUUAGAUACCCUGGUAGUCCACGCCCUAAACGAUGUCAACUAGUUGUUGGGGAUUCAUUUCCUUAGUAACGUAGCUAACGCGUGAAGUUGACCGCCUGGGGAGUACGGUCGCAAGAUUAAAACUUAAAUGAAUUGACGGGGUCAUAGCUGUUUCCU